rnacentral:rRNA from 1 species
GGCGGACGGGUGAGUAACACGUGGGUAACCUACCUAUAAGACUGGGAUAACUUCGGGAAACCGGAGCUAAUACCGGAUAACAUUUGGAACCGCAUGGUUCUAAAGUGAAAGAUGGUUUUGCUAUCACUUAUAGAUGGACCCGCGCCGUAUUAGCUAGUUGGUAAGGUAACGGCUUACCAAGGCGACGAUACGUAGCCGACCUGAGAGGGUGAUCGGCCACACUGGAACUGAGACACGGUCCAGACUCCUACGGGAGGCAGCAGUAGGGAAUCUUCCGCAAUGGGCGAAAGCCUGACGGAGCAACGCCGCGUGAGUGAUGAAGGGUUUCGGCUCGUAAAACUCUGUUAUUAGGGAAGAACAAAUGUGUAAGUAACUGUGCACGUCUUGACGGUACCUAAUCAGAAAGCCACGGCUAACUACGUGCCAGCAGCCGCGGUAAUACGUAGGUGGCAAGCGUUAUCCGGAAUUAUUGGGCGUAAAGCGCGCGUAGGCGGUUUCUUAAGUCUGAUGUGAAAGCCCACGGCUCAACCGUGGAGGGUCAUUGGAAACUGGGAAACUUGAGUGCAGAAGAGGAAAGUGGAAUUCCAUGUGUAGCGGUGAAAUGCGCAGAGAUAUGGAGGAACACCAGUGGCGAAGGCGACUUUCUGGUCUGUAACUGACGCUGAUGUGCGAAAGCGUGGGGGAUCAAACAGGAUUAGAUACCCUGGUAGUCCACGCCGUAAACGAUGAGUGCUAAGUGUUAGGGGGGUUUCCGCCCCUUAGUGCUGCAGCUAACGCAUUAAGCACUCCGCCCUGGG